rnacentral:rRNA from 1 species
CGGGAGGGAGCUGUCGAAGGUGGGACUGGCGAUUGGGACGAAGUCGUAACAAGGUAGCCGUACCGGAAGGUGCGGCUGGAUCACCUCCUUUCUAAGGAGCA